rnacentral:rRNA from 1 species
GAUGAACGCUGGCGGCGUGCCUAAUACAUGCAAGUCGAGCGAACGGACGAGAAGCUUGCUUCUCUGAUGUUAGCGGCGGACGGGUGAGUAACACGUGGAUAACCUACCUAUAAGACUGGGAUAACUUCGGGAAACCGGAGCUAAUACCGGAUGAUAUUUUGAACCGCAUGGUUCAAAAGUGAAAGACGGUCUUGCUGUCACUUAUAGAUGGAUCCGCGCUGCAUUAGCUAGUUGGUAAGGUAACGGCUUACCAAGGCAACGAUGCAUAGCCGACCUGAGAGCGUGAUCGGCCACACUGGAACUGAGACACGGUCCAGACUCCUACGGGAGGCAGCAGUAGGGAAUCUUCCGCAAUGGGCGAAAGCCUGACGGAGCAACGCCGCGUGAGUGAUGAAGGUCUUCGGAUCGUAAAACUCUGUUAUUAGGGAAGAACAUAUGUGUAAGUAACUGUGCACAUCUUGACGGUACCUAAUCAGAAAGCCACGGCUAACUACGU